rnacentral:misc_RNA from 1 species
AAGUCGUAACAAGGUUUCCGUAGGUGAACCUGCGGAAGGAUCAUUAACACGUAUCCAAACGUUAAAACAACCCUGUGAAUAUUGAAUCUCAGUUCCCCCAGGGCAGAAAAAUGGGCUUCCUCUAGUAAAUCAUUGUCUUAACAAGGUUUUGAGUUAGCAACCAUCAAUCUGAAAGUGUUUGGUGAAUUGUGCAAGGGCAGCGCAGUCAACGAUCGGUGGUCCACACGGCCAUCGACCGGGGGUCGUUACCUCCCUGUGGGGCCAAGUUCAUUCAGGUUGAACAUGAUGCAUGUCUACCGCGCCCGACGAAAGUCCGACGCACCCCUAACCGAACAACUGUUAACAAUGGAUAUCUUGGUUCUC